CUGCCGGCGACCGGCGCACGGGUGAGUAACACGUAUGCAACCUGCCCUCCGCAGGGGGAUAACCCGGAGAAAUCCGGACUAAUACCGCGUGGUACACCAGUGGGGCAUCCCACGGGCGUUAAAAGGAAGCGAUUCCGGCGGAGGAUGGGCAUGCGGCGCAUUAGCUAGUUGGCGGGGUAACGGCCCCACCAAGGCGACGAUGCGUAGGGGUUCUGAGAGGAAGGUCCCCCACACUGGUACUGAGACACGGACCAGACUCCUACGGGAGGCAGCAG
rnacentral:rRNA from 1 species